CUCUGCCCCUCCCCUGCUCAUGCUCUGUCUCUCAAUAAUAAAUAAACAUUUAAAAAAAUUUUUAAAAAAAGGAUAAAUUGAGUUCAGUGUCACUGCCAUGAAAAGUUGUCCACCCUAUGUUAUUAUGGAAAAAAGAGAUUGUAUAAUGGUUAUACAGUAAGAUUUCAGUUUUGUGAACCGAGGGGGAAAAAAUCCCUUAAAAUAUCCGCAGGAAUAUUCACCAACGAGUCCUGGUGGUGAUGUGGGUGGAAGGUAGCGAUAGGAUUGUGUCUGUGUUUAUGGGUUAGACAUUUCUGUAAGGUUUGAAUUUUUCACCAAGAAAGGGGAUUCCUUUCAUACACAGAAAAAUAAAUAAAGAUUUAAAAACAAAGGCAGUAGCAAUUCCAGGUCGCUGGGAGCUGGGUGGCCAGGUGAGCCUGAAGCUUCGUGGAGAAGGGCACCAUUGACAAUCUGGAGGACAAGCAGCCUUCAGAUCAGAGACUCGAGCCGCCUGCCCACAGGCACAUCCGACCCUGGGUUGAGUUUUGUUUGACCUGCGCAGCACUGACAAUUUUUAUAAAUUAGUCGUCGUUGCUUAAAAUAUAUGAUUUCGCACAAGAAGUAAGGAUUCCUGGCUUCUCCAGGAGCCUCACGGGGCCCACCUCCCCAGUGAGAGCUGCUUCCCGUCCCCAGCGGCCAAGUUCACUGUUGCGCAUUACCUGUCCCAGCUCCUUGGGCAUUGGCUUCCUUACCUGAGGCAGGCGUCGAAAUGGAGACAAUUCUCGGCACUCCUUGACGAGCGCUGCCCACUCCUCAACUCAGCUGGGUAUCGGCUCCAGGGGGCACACGUCAGGAAUUCCUCCCAUCAUUUAUCUGACACGCAUUUAUUCAAUUCUGUUUCUUCUAUGGAGCCCCUGCCCGUGUGAAAAGGAAUGAAAGGAAACCUCAUUAGAAGGGAGCCAGGAGGCCAGCAGGGGGAGCUCUCACGCCCAACAUUAGCUGUCAACUGCGGAGCCAAAGGGGAGGGAAGGAACUCGAGGAGCGGAUAGGUACUACUUUUACUUACCAUCCCAGCGGGAGGAAGGCACAUUUCUUCUUCCUCCAGCCACAGCCCAGCCAAGGACAGACAGUCACAGCUCAGCCACUGAGAAGCCACCAUACGUCAAGCUCCCCGUUUAUGACUCCCGACGCCCCACUUGCCUCUAUCAAAGAAUGGUCCUCUCCUUUGUUCGGGGACUUGCCUGCGGUUUUACCGUGGCAGCUGGCUCGUCUCAGAUUGUAAAUUCUCAGCGAUUCCCGAGCAAGCCCAUCCUUUGCUGGGAAAACAGCUGGCUGUGCCAGAUGAUGCCACAUGGGGGAGAAAAGAGUUGUGCGCUUCACUCAGCCUUGCCCAAACUGCAAAACGUCCAAGAAGGCAGCUGGAAGGAGCCUGGGACAGCUGCCACGUGAGCCAGAUGGCUACACCCGCUUCCACUCCCUGCUCUGACAAAGGCCUUCCCAACCGGACAUUCGGAUUCCCGCGUGGUCGGCUUCAGCCCGCCUCCCCCCCCCACCCAUCGUCAUCCACUUUGUGUUGUCGUCAAGCUCACUUUGUCCUCGUGCCACCCAACUCUGCUGGUCUCUUUGGCAAAGGUCUCUUCUCUAUGCGUUUCUUCUCCCGUUUGCCCGGAAAAUCCCUAGGGCUCGUCUGAGACACUGCCAAGCAUCGGCUGUAAACCCAAAUGAAUCUCUCCCUCCUCUUGGUGCCCGUGGCACCGAGCCGGCGUGAACACAAUCUCAUAUGACCCCAUAUUGUAAUUGCUCCCGCGUCUGUGGCCUCCGUCGGCGCAGGGUUUGGAAUAAUGAAAACUGCUCCCCUGUGGAUGCUGCAAAUCGUAAGGAUUAUCACACAGCCCAUGUGUGCUGGGCUCCGACUGGAUGCCGGGCGUGGUUUUAAUUCUUACAACGGCCCCACGAGCCAGGUUCUGUGAUCAUGCGUGGUUCAUGGACGAGGAGACCGAGGUACAGAAAGGCUGAGCAACUCGCCCGAGCUUUGCAGAGCUGCUAGGGAAAGACAGUCAGCCCCGAAGCCCAGGCAGGGUGGCCCCCUAGCCCUGUUCUCACCCCUUUUACUUUAUACCUUGUCCAUUUUCCCAAUCCCUGUCCUGUGACAAGCUGCCGUCGUUUUUUGUUUGUUUGUUUGUUUGUUUUUUAAAGUAAACUCUAAGCUGA